AUGAAAGAAACAGAGGGAAAAAAAAUGCUAUCAUUUCUUGCCUGUAACCUGAGGUUUGUUCUGUGCAUAUUCUUGUUAGGUAUUUGUGGAAGAAGCCUUUCACAAGUAAAGAGAAGUGCCAGGGAAAGGAGCUUUCAGACCGGCUGCUGUGGGAGAUUCUUCUUGAGCUGUGGAGUAUGGCAUCGCUUUCUGAGAAAUUUACCUUCUCUAUCUUCCAGUAUGAAACGAGCCAUUCUACUCACUGAAGACACUACACAGGAACAAAAACAAACCUUUCAGAUUCUGGAAAUCACAUUGUUACUUCAAAAUGCCUCCAAUCAGCUUCUCCCAUGUGGCUCAGCAGAGAAAGAAAACGGAACAAAUUCUGCCCUUCAGGACUGUGAAGAUGGAGUGCCAUGA
rnacentral:lncRNA from 1 species